rnacentral:lncRNA from 1 species
CAAACAGAAUCCCAACCACUGGUCAAAAAGGGGUUUGGUUUGGCAGAUGUGACGACCUUCUCGGAAUCCCGACGUUUCGGUACGCUUGAGUUUCCUUUCCGUGACGUGGUUGUGACACUUCACAUUGUGACACAGACGUGUGUAUGGGGUUCAUGUGCAAGGGUUUGGUGGCUGGGGACUGUGGGGCAGAGCUGUGUCCCAUGGGAGGGCCCCACGCUGGAGCAGGGCGAGGGGGGAGGCUUCUGGGCAGCACUGAAAACUUGACCCUGAGCGGUGUCAAAGAUCAUGCAGGCAUAUCUGAGGACUGCCAUUCCAGCAACGGCAUCUCCGCUUUCCACUCACCCCCUCUUUUAUUGCAUUGGAUGCAUGUCUUCGUUGCGUCUGCGGGUGUUUCUUCUGGGUGCAGCAGCAGAAGCAGUUUGAUGGACACGAGCACCCCAGCAUCCCUGGAGUAUUUCCACGUAUCUGAGGAGAGAGCCCUAGAAAACACCUGGAAGUGCUGGAGCGUGCUUCAAAACUUAAGAUACUUCCUGGCUGCUAAGUUAAUCGGGGAAACGAUAGGUUAAAAGCGUGUCUUUACACAAUGGGCUGCCUGCAUGUAUUCCUGGGCUUGUGUGAAAGGACAAUGAAAAAUGGACCACCUUGGGCUGCGAGCUCAGUGCUGCAACCUCGUCACUGUCUUCUGCGAGCUCUCUG